UGCGUAACAGGUGUGCAAGUCUGUCCGUAAAUCGGGGGAUAGCCCGCCGAAAGGCGGAUUAAAACUCCAGUGUGAGAUGAUACCGCAUGGUAUUAUUUUGAAACGAAAGGAUUACGGGUGAGCACGCUUCGUGAUUAGCUAGUUGGUGGGGUAACGGCUCACCAAGGCGACGAUCAGUAGGGGUUCUGAGAGGAAGGUCCCCCACAUUGGAACUGAGACACGGUCCAAACUCCUACGGGAGGCAGCAGUGAGGAAUAUUGGUCAAUGGGCGGAAGCCUGAACCAGCCAAGUCGCGUGAAGGAAUGAAGGUUCUAUGGAUUGUAAACUUCUUUUAUUCGAGGGUAAAGUGUGGUACGUGUACCAUAUUGCAAGUAUCGAAUGAAUAAGCAUCGGCUAACUCCGUGCCAGCCGCUGC
rnacentral:rRNA from 1 species